rnacentral:misc_RNA from 1 species
UUUCCGUAGGUGAACCUGCGGAAGGAUCAUUAAAGAGUAAGGGUCUUCGGGCCCGAUCUCCAACCCUUUGUUUAACUACCAUGUUGCUUUGGCGGGCCCGUCUCACGACCGCCGGAAGUUUGGCUUCGACCAAACUUCUGGCCCGUGCCCGUCAGUGGCCCCUUCAAAUUCUUGAUCAAGUAUGAUAUCUUAGUUAAAAACUUAAUAGUUAAAACUUUCAACAACGGAUCUCUUGGUUCUG